rnacentral:rRNA from 1 species
AUACGUAGGGGGCGAGCGUUGUCCGGAAUGAUUGGGCGUAAAGGGCGCGUAGGCGGCCUGUUAAGUCUGGAGUGAAAGUCCUGUUUUCAAGAUGGGAAUUGCUUUGGAUACUGAUGGGCUUGAGUGCAGGAGAGGUUAUCGGAAUUCCCGGUGUAGCGGUGAAAUGCGUAGAGAUCGGGAGGAACACCAGUGGCGAAGGCGGGUAACUGGACUGCAACUGACGCUGAGGCGCGAAAGUGUGGGGAGCAAACAGGAUUAGAUACCCUGGUAGUCCACGCCAUAAACGAUGAAUACUAGGUGUAGGGGGUAUCGACCCCCUCUGUGCCGACGUUAACACAUUAAGUAUUCCACCUGGGGAGUACGGCCGCAAGGCUGAAACUCAAAGGAAUUGACGGGG